AUUGAACGCUGGCGGCAGGCCUAACACAUGCAAGUCGAACGAGUGGCGGACGGGUGAGUAAUGUCUGGGAAACUGCCUGAUGGAGGGGGAUAACUCCUGGAAACGGUAGCUAAUACCGCAUACUAUCAGCUGAGCCUAGGUCGGAUUAGCUAGUUGGUGGGGUAAAGGCCUACCAAGGCGACGAUCCGUAACUGGUCUGAGAGGAUGAUCAGUCACACGGGAACUGAGACACGGGCCAGACUCCUACGGGAGGCAGCAGUGGGGAAUAGUGGACAAUGGGCGAAAGCCUGAUCCAGCCAUGCCGCGUGUAUGAAGAAGGCCUUCGGGUUGUAAAGUACUUUCAGCGGGGAGGCGUUACCCGCAGAAGAAGCACCGGCUAACUCCGUGCCAGCAGCCGCGGUAAUUC
rnacentral:rRNA from 1 species